GCCACCAUAGCUCAGUGGUAGAGCACUGGUCUCGUAAACCAGGGGUCGUGAGUUCGAUCCUUACUGAUGGCU
rnacentral:tRNA from 1 species